UGUUCUUGCGGGAAGGGAAACUCCACAGGAGAACAGGGCAGCAGGGCCCCAAGGAAGGACGAGUGAGGCCCAGCCCAGCUGCCUGCCCCAGGAGUUGUGAAACUCCAGGAUGAAUUCAGCAUGGAACAACUUUAAUCCAUUCUAAUCUGAGGAUAAAACUCAGAGAAGUCUUUGCUCCAGGCACGCCCCACCUCCAGCCCUGGGCUCACCCCAACCAUCACUUCAGGCAGGAGAGUCCCCAUUUGUGGCUACUAGUUCAUUCAUUCAUUCAGAAGGGCCCUGGCCAUCAGCCACCCUCAGAGCGGAGUGCAGCUCCACCACUUCGGCCAGGUGACCCUAGUCAUGUUCAUGAAUCUCCCAGCCUCUGAUCCCACCUCUCUCAGUGGGGCAACAGCACCCGGUGUGCAGGGUGGCGGCCCAGGGUGGCCGUGGAGUGAGUCACUGGGGAGGGUUCCUGGGUCCUGGGCAUCUGAACUGGCUGCACUCGGAAACCCCAGUGCAAAUGGGGCAGAGCAACAGUGCGUCUGUGGCAAUGGUCCUGGGAGCAACGGUACGUCUGUGGCAACGGUCCUGGGCCCACAGCACGGUCCCAGGCAUUCACUGAGUUCUCAAUUAAAUCAAAACCCCCUUCCACAGAAAGCCCCUCUCCACACUCAGAGGAGGCGGAGAGGCUGGAAGUGUCUCUUAAUGAACUGUUUACUGCGAAAUGCCUUUCACCUUCCAAGCUGCAGUCUUAGAAUUAAACCUGGCAUUUGAAUGCAAUCAUGAAGAGAGGGGAGCUCCUCUGUCAGCCAGCAGGACACGAUGAAAAUCCAAUUAAGUUGUGCAUGUUAAUUCCCCUGCCUGCCUGGGCUCAUUGCUGGAUGAGGGAGGGGGAGCACGCAGUUUUCUAUAGUUUAUCUGCACAGCCCAGAGGCAGGUGUUUUACCCGCUGACAAUAAAACCCAACAGAGCUGUGACCAAGUGGGUGAAAAUAGCAAGUCAUUAAAAACGAGCAUCUUGAAUGCCCAUCUUUCAAUAACGUAGACGGAAAGUGCUGGAAUGAAGAGAUUAGGGAAUUAAUUGUAUUGAGGAUCCUCUCACUAGCAGACCCCAGGGCAGGAAAAGUGUCUGGCCACCUGCCAGGACCAUACAAUGGGAUUAUGUGGGCCCCAAGAGAAGGAACCUGGCUGGACACCCCUGUUGGUUCAGCAAGGAACCAGCCCAGAUUUUUGGAACCUGAAAGCACUGAGGUCUUAAAUCAUGAAACUGGGCUUGAAAGAAAAGCACAAAAAUAAGAAAAUAAAAGAGAAAGAAAGAAAAGAGAAGGGAAGAAAGCCAGGGCCCUCGUAAGGUUCUUGGUCUUCCGGGGAGAACAGGAAAAUCCACCUCGGUUCAUUUCUUGGAACUCGAUGAGAAAACAGAGGUACUGUCUUCACUUGAAUUAAUUUUUACAUUUAAAAUCUGAUAGUAAGAAGGAAAGGGUACGUUAGAACUGCAAGAAAAUAUAUGCAGUAACUACAGAUUUUAUCAUCCAGUAACCUGGGACUCUGAGGGCAGGACAUGCCUAGGACAGCAGGGUACGAGCACCCUGCAGAGCGGGCUGCCUCCUGAAGGGCCACCCACACCAGGCACGGCGGGGGUGGUCAGGAUCCUGUGCCCUCACUCCUUCUCAUUCCCUGGGAACUGGCAGGAACAUCGCUGCUCUGGGCCAGUGCUGGCCUGGCUCCUCACGAACGCAACACUGCCAGCUCUGCGCCCCUCAGACUGCUGGAAGCAUCCCGUAGAUCAGAGGAUUCUGAUCCCUGCCUCCAGGGAUGGGGUGUCCACGGCACGUCUCCAGGUAUGAACACACACAAUUUGGCAUGAACACAUGCCUUUGGCGUUCUCUGGGACUAGACUGGGCAGAUUAACAAGGUACCUUUAAACAGGGGUGCCCAACCCCAAGUGUGGACAGGUACUGGUCCGUGGCCUGUCAGGAACUGGGCCGCACAGCCUCCCGUCGGAUCGGCGGCGGCAUUCGAUCUCAUAGGAGCAUGAACCCUGUCGUGAGCUGUGCGUGUGAGAGGGAUCCAGGUUGCGUGCUCCUUAUGAGAAUCUAACUAAUGCCUGAGCAUACGAGGUGGAACAGUUUCAUCCCAAAACCAUCCCCCCAACCCCACCCUCAUCCCACAGUACGUGGGAAAAUUGUCUCCCAUGAAACUGGUACCAAAAUGGUUGGGGACGGCUGCCUUAAAACACAAGGUUGAUUUAUAGUAAAGGAGCAACAGGCACCGAAAUUCACACUCAGGAGAGGAGCCGUGCGAGCUAAAGGAACACAGUCCGUUCCCGUCCUGCAGGAAGCCAUCAGCGCUUCUCAAACGUGACGCGGUUCUCACCUAGUCCAGCGGCUAUUUCUCCUCCCACUUUCCUGGAGGAACACCGCUGCUAGGCCCUAGGUUUCUGACAGCUCAGCCACUUAAAAGUAGGAAAUCCAGCUGCCUAGGACCCAUCUUGGUCUGUCCUUCACUCAGUGUGACCUGGAGAUUCCUUCGCCUUGUUAUGUGAAUGUUACGAUCUCACACCCAGAAUGCAGCAAACAUGAAAACCUGUCAUUAUGAAUGUGGAUUCCUCCACAGAAUAGACGCCUAAAUCAUGGUAUACGGUCUAAUUAAAUGGAAUAUUAAAAUGAAUGAGCUAGAAUUUAUAAAUCAACAUAGAUAAUCUAAGAACAAAUUAAAUACAGGGACACCAGCAAGAUGGAGAACUAGGAAGCCCCAGGGAGUCCUCGUUCCCCCACCGAGACACUGGUUAGCAAUAAUCUAUGGACAGAACAGCCAGUGUGAGAACCCCAGAAUCCGAUUAGGAGGUUGCAGCACCCCCUGUGAGUGCAAAGCCCAGAAGGGCCACAUCUGAGCAGAUAAGAAAAAAAGUCACAGCAUUUUGUGCCCUGGUGCCUACUGCUCCCUGGCAUGAUAGGAGCCCUCAAUGCCCUCAAUGCUUGGCUGCUCUCUAGAGAGGGAGAGUGAAGAGUGGAACAUGCAUCCAAUGUUCUCGCUUUUCAGGGGGCUGCCCAUGGGACUGGUAUCUGCCUCACCUGACUCAGAGCACUGAGGGAAACUUGCAGAGCUUGAAUGUCAGGUAAGGGGCUGCUGAGAGCAAAGACGAGCAUCUUCGCUCAGCACAAAGGAUCCUGCGGAGCCACAGACACCAGAGGACAGAGGCCUCCUGAAAAACAUGGGCAAAACUCUAACUGGGAAACUACUUACACAAGCCCAAAGAAGAUGCAUCCCCAGAAAAGGCUGAGAAGUUCCAGAAUCUCUACCUGGGCUGAUUAGUGAAAGUACAAAGCAAGUUAACAAAGACUGCGGGAAGCACAAUGUAUUUGAAAUGCCCAAAUAUCAAUACAAGGUCACAAGGCAUACAAAGAAACAGGAAACCAAGGCCCAGUCAAAGGAACAAAAUAUAUCUCAGGAAAUGACCGUAAAGACACAGAGAUGAAUUAACUGAUCAUUCAAGGUAACCUUCUUAAAGAUGCCCAGUGAGCUAAACAAGAACAGAGACAACUGAACGAAUUCAGAAUACGACUUAUGAACAAAAUGAGAUAACAACAGAGAUAGAAAUUAUAAAAACUGAACAAAACAGAAAUUCGGAAACUGAAGAAUAACUGAAUUUUAAGAUCAAUAGAGGAGUUCAACAGCAGACUUGAUCAUGGAGAAAGAACCAUCAAAUUUGAAGAAAAAUUAUCUGAAAUUAUUGAGUGAGAGGAGGGAAAAAAAGCAUAAAGAAAGUAAUGAGAGCCUGUGAGACUUACGGGAAAACAUCAGGCAGAACAAUGGAGGUUUUUUACCCCAGAGACGCUGUGGGUUUGAUCCCAGGCCACUGCCAUAAUGUGAAUACCACAGCAAGGUGAGUCACAAAAUAUUUUGGUUUCCCGGCGCAUAUAAAAGUAAUGAUUAUACUAUACUGUAGCCUGUUAAUUGUGCAAUAGCAUUAUGUAUAAAAAAGUAUAUACCUUAAUGAAAAUACUUUCUUUGGCUAAAAAUGCUAAUGAUCAUCUAAGCCUUCAACAAGUCAUAAUUUUUUCAUGAUGGGGGCUCUUACCUCAGUGUUGAUGUCUGCUAACUGAUCAGCGUGGCAGUUGCUGAAGACUGGGGUAACCGUGACAAUUUCUUAAGACAACAAUGAAUUUUGCUCUUCAAUGGACUCUUUCCUUCACAAAAGACUUAUCUGCGGUAUGUAAUGUCGUUUCACAGCAUUUUACUCACAGUAGAACCUCUUUCAAAUUUGGAGCCAGUCCUCUCAAACCCUGCUGCUGCUUUAUGUAAUAUUCUGAAUACCUUGUUGUCACUUCAAGAAUGUUUGUCUCUACCAGGAGUAGAUUCCAUCUCAAAAAACAACUUUCUUUGCUCAUUCGUAAGGAGAAACUCCUCAUUCAUUAAAGUUUUACCCUGAGAUUGCAGCAAUUCAGCCACAUCGUCAGGCUCCUCUUCUCAUUCCAGUUGUCUCACCGUUUCCACCAUCUGCAGUUCCUGCCUCCAUUAAAGUCUUGAACCACUCAGAGUCACCUGUGAGGGCUGGGAUUAAAUCCCUGCAGACUCCUGUUCAUGUUGAUAUUUUGCCUCCUCCCAUGAAACAGGAACGUUCUUAAUGGCAUGUAGAGUGGUGAACUACUUCCAGAAGGCAUUCCAUUCGCUUUGUUCGGAUCCAGCAGAGCAAUCACUAUCUACGGCAGCUAUAGCCUUAAGAAAUGUAUUUCUUUCUUUUUUUUUGAGACGGAGUCUUGCUCUGUCACCCAGGCUGGAGUGCAGUGGAGCAAUCUCCACUCACUGCAAGCUCUGCCUCCUGGGUUCACGCCAUUCUCCUGCCUCAGCCUCCCGAG
rnacentral:lncRNA from 10 species